AACGAACGCUGGCGGCAGGCCUAACACAUGCAAGUCGAGCGAGGACUUCGGUUCUAGCGGCGGACGGGUGAGUAACGCGUGGGAAUGUGCCCUUCUCUACGGAAUAGCCCUGGGAAGCUGGGAGUAAUACCGUAUACGCCCUAUUGGGGAAAGAUUUAUCGGAGAAGGAUCAGCCCGCGUUGGAUUAGGUAGUUGGUGGGGUAAUGGCCUACCAAGCCGACGAUCCAUAGCUGGUUUGAGAGGAUGAUCAGCCACACUGGGACUGAGACACGGCCCAGACUCCUACGGGAGGCAGCAGUGGGGAAUCUUAGACAAUGGGGGCAACCCUGAUCGAGCCAUGCCGCGUGAGUGAUGAAGGCCUUAGGGUUGUAAAGCUCUUUCAGCUGGGAAGAUAAUGACGGUACCAGCAGAAGAAGCCCCGGCUAACUCCGUG
rnacentral:rRNA from 1 species